GCAGGUUGCGGUCAAAUUAAAAAUCCCACUCCACCCUAGACGACCAAGAGGGUGAGGGAAAAUAUGGCGGCAGCUGCAAAUGAAAAUUGGAAAAUGCCAUCUCGAGAGACGGCAUUUGGCUCCCUCGCUCUUGGUUAUUCCUUUCAUGUUUUCGCAGAAAAAAAAAAACUCAAACGAGUUUUUAAAAUAUUAGAUGUUAUUGUACCUCCAUGCCACAGCUGCCCAAUACUUUGCUCCGGUGAUCAUGUGGUCCAUCUCCACCCUGCACUUAAUAAAUUCCCUGGUUUUCUCUUUUGUCCCUAAAAUACAAACUUCUAUUAAAAUCAGGGGGAAAACGUAGCGGGAGAAGUACGACACCGAGCGGCCGAACAUACGAGCCGAGACCGUAAUACAAGCACUUUUACUGUAACAUUUCUAACUAAAAUAACGUUCAUGUAUCACAAAAAGCCCUUAACCUAACAGUUUUCAAGUUUAUACUGACAUUUAUAUGCGCAAUCCUCUCCAACAGCUCCCGCUUCGCUGUCCGCCAUUGUUUUUAAGUUUUUCUGCCGGCCCGCAAGGCAUCUUGGGAAAUGCUACCUAUUGAAGGAUACACCCGACCCAUCCUUCAUUCAGGCGAAAGAAGGCAGGAUUCAUUGACCGCAUUUGAAGGAGUCUUCGAAUUGGGACAGGCCUAGUCGCGGCGCUGUGACGUAACCGGCCGACGAAUCCGGCCGACGUAGGAUGCAGACCCUGAAUUGAGACACAGCCGGGGUCUAACCAUUACACGCCCGUAACAGCAGAGGGCGCCAGGCUGUGUUUUCUCAACAGGAGUAAAAAAAUGGAGACGAGAGGUCUGGAGCAGAGUGGACAGAAAGUGGGACAUUAACUGCGUUUUUCAGCGUUUUCACAGUUAUUUUAAGAGUCACAGAACAGUGAGCUCUAUGAUGAUGUUGCUGCCAAAACUACCAAAACAAAGAGUAGAUUAAUCUCUUAAAUCAGGAAGAAUCUGCACAUUGGAGCGUUAUCCGUUCGUUCAUAAUCCGUUGUCGAAUUGUGAUCGGCAGAAGCUUUUCCGGAUCGCGUCUCACUUUUUUAUAGCAGUGGCCCAAAACGAUCUCCUAACACAUGGAUUUUCUUCUUCCUGAUCAUGUGACGUGCAACGUACACGGAUGAAGAUCGGCUUUAGAGCUGGGAUGUUUGUUCUCAUAGUGUGGGGGCUAGUCCGACGGCCACACAGUAAAAAUUUAGUCGUCAUUGGCAGUUAACAUACUAAGGCAGAGGUAUGUGAUUUUUAAGAUACCGGUGGUCAAUUCAGCAGAAGCCUCAAACAUUGCAUGCAUGGAUGCAUGGGAUGGCAGUGAGGAUAACGUUUUUUGUUUUUGUUUUUGUUUUUUUUUGUUUGUUUUUUCCUAUCCUUAAGAUUGUUAGUCUUGGAAAGGGGGGUCGUCUUAUAAUCAGGGUCGUCCUAUAUUUGGGUCAGUACGGUAUUUGUAUUAUCUUAAAGGUCCUUUUGGUCCCUUGGCUCAUAGUCGCUCCGCUGUAAGGAACCUGGGUGUUGUAUUUGACAGCUCUCUUAAGUCGGAUAAACAGAUUACUGCAUUUCCAACUCAAAGUUAUUGCCAAGGUGAAGCCGUGUCUCCCUGUAAAAACCCAGACAACCAUGCUUGUAUCACCACCUGUCUGGAUUAUUGUAAUGUUCUGUGUGUUGGCUCUGAUCAGUCAUCAUUACAUCACCUAGUAACCGACUGGUAACUCGUCCUCUGGCAGGCACACAAAAAAAGACAACUCACAUAUCAAGUUUGGCAUGGCUUCAUUAGUUUUGUGUACACUGUUUAAUUGGUUUUAGGAUUUUGAAACGGCCCUACCAGGUUGAGCACUGCAGUGAGCCAAGGGACAAUAAAUGAUAUGCCUGCUAAGGAGGUCAGCUACCCAAUAUUCAUGAGGUUCCAAUAUUUUUCAUCAUUAAUUUCUAUGAAAAUUCUAAAUAGAAUUAAAAAACAGACAUUUUGAGCUCAUUUAGCUUCUUCUCAUCAUAAUUCCUCUAAUGGAUUCACUCUACUGUUUAUACUAGGUUUAUUCACGUCAGCAACCCGAAAAGGAAGAAAAAAAAAACCCUCAGUACUUGACUUUUGCAAGACGCAUCUUGUCAGGGAUUGUCUCCUUGCUGCAGCGUGUGGCAGGUUCAGCCCGAUGAAAUCCCUGUCAGCUGUGUCACCUUAUUCCUGGCCAACCCCCAGAAUCCCUCUGAAUUGUACAAACACAAAGACGUUAUGAAUUUGUCACCUCCUGUCAUUUUAUCUUGGGCUGCAGGCAGUCUUUGUUCGCAAAGCCUCCCAGUAACGGAAAGCCGUGCUUAGACUUUUCUUCCUUGCUAUUGCCUGCAAGUCUUCUCAAUGUUAUCAGAAAAUUAUUCAGAACGGGACGUAGGCACUCCGUAUCUCCCUAUGUUGAAAGCCACUUUUCUUCCUAAGUCUGCAUCAUUUGGACAGGUCCUCUUGUCCAAUUAGCCAUCCUUAAACCAUUUAACAAGUUGGACAAAAGGGAAGAUGAAUGUUAAAUGAACUGAUUACUCUGCGGUAAUUAUGGGAUUCUCAAAAGCACAUUUCUUCCUUUUUUCCGUUGACCAAAGCAGAUAGCAGACAUUGAGUAUGGUCAUUUAAACACAGUGCACAGCAGGGUUAGUUUCUUUCUACAACAAAGCAUUGGAGCUUUCAAAGAUCAAGUCAUAAUGAGCCUCGGACUCAAAAGAACAUUCUAGAUGUCUUUUCAUGCUAGCCAUUACCAUGGCUUUGUUUUUCACAGAUUUAAUUAAGGCUGCUGCGUGUUUUGCCCAAAUCAGUUCAGGGAGCAACAUCUCAACGUACGAGUCGUAUGUGCCAUGUUGAUGUUAAUUAACGCGUCGUAUUUACAGUUGCAGGCAACUUUUAAUUAAAAAAGGUCUAGAGGAGUGCUUACUUAGCUAGGUUUUUACGCAUUAUUCCUGAAACAGGAACACAUUUAUAACGGAGAACUGAAGAUGCGUUAUAUUUAAGGACUUUCUGCUUAACCAGAGGUGAUGUGUUUUACAGCCUUUGGUGAUAGAUCAUAUGUUUGUAAAACCAACCUAGUUAAACUAGUUAAAAAUUAAAGUUGACUUGGUCAAGCUCUAUUCCAUUAAAACAUGAGUCACUUGGUCCAGUGACCAAAGCCUACUGGUUGUGCAGCACCAGGCUAAAGACCAAAGGUGACAGAUCAUUUGCUGCUGUGGCCCCCAGACUCUGGAACUCUCUCCCCCUGAGCCUGAGAUCAGUGGACUCAGUGGUCUCCUUUAAAAACAGCUGGAGACUCACCUGUUCAGGCUGGUUUUGGUGUGACCUUCAUCACCCUCUCCUUGUUCUGCUCUCCCCACCUAUUCCACCUUCCUCAGGAUCCACUGAUUUCCCUCUUUCCUAUUCACUCUUUCUCUGUUUACAUUUUUUAAUCACAACUGUCUAUUUUUUGCUCAUUUUAAAUAUAUUUUUAAUCAUUUUCUAAAUUCUUUUAUAUUUUUACAUUUUUUGUUUUUGUGAAGCACCUCGUGAUUUUUAUCCUGAGAGGCGCUCUAGAAUGAUACUUUCUUCUUCUUCUUCCACAAUACCAAAGUUUUCAUUCUUUUCCUACAUUUUGUGCUUUUAUUUAUUCGUUUGUUUUGUUAGCCAUCAUUUUUGAAAAAUGUGUAACUCAGAUCCAACGGUUGUUGCUCAGAAUGUAUUAAAAUGUUACAAUAAAAAAAGACGUCCCACCCAACAGGUCUUUGGAUUUUAUGUGUAACCGGGUCACCUUAGUUCCCGGAAGUUAUUCUGGUUAUACCUGUCAUGCCGCUGACAGGGGAUCCAGGUGUGUAAUCAGAGGGCUGCUAUAAUUAGGGCAGCUGGGGUCUAGCUGCAAACGCUGAAUGCUUCGCUUUGGGUGCAGACGUGCGUG
ensembl:lncRNA